UAACCUGCCCAAGAGAUCGGGAUAACACCUGGAAACAGAUGCUAAUACCGGAUAACAACAGAUGAUGCCUAUCAACUGUUUAAAAGAUGGUUCUGCUAUCACUCUUGGAUAGACCUGCGGUGCAUUAGCUAGUUGGUAGGGUAACGGCCUACCAAGGCGAUGAUGCAUAGCCGAGUUGAGAGACUGAUCGGCCACAUUGGGACUGAGACACGGCCCAAACUCCUACGGGAGGCAGCAGAU
rnacentral:rRNA from 1 species